rnacentral:misc_RNA from 1 species
UUUCCGUAGGUGAACCUGCGGAAGGAUCAUUAAUGAGUUGUCAUGGGGUUCGAUGCUGGCAGCCAGUUUUUGGAUGCAUGUGCUUGCCCUAACAAUCAUCUUCUUCCAAACACCUGUGCACAUCUUUGAGGGAGUCUUGAGUUGGUUGCCGCUCUUGGGUGAUUUUCUCACAUUCCCUUAAAUCAUUAUACGCUAUUAACAAUGUUGAACGUGCUCUGUGCCGCAAGGCCAUUAAUAUAAUACAACUUUUAACAACGGAUCUCUUGGCUCUC